UACGUAGGUGGCAAGCGUUGUCCGGAUUUACUGGGCGUAAAGAGCGCGCAGGCGGUCGUUCAAGUCGAGUGUGAAAGCCCCCCGGCUCAACUGGGGAGGGUCACUCGAUACUGAUCGACUCGAAGGCAGGAGAGGGAAGUGGAAUUCCCCGGUGUAGUGGUGAAAUGCGUAGAUAUCGGGGAGGAACACCAGUGGCGAAGGCGGUUUUCUAGCUUAAACCUGACGCUGAUGCGCGAAAGCAAGGGGAUCAAACAGG
rnacentral:rRNA from 1 species